rnacentral:tRNA from 1 species
GGAUUGUGGCUCAGGGGUAGAGCACUUGCCUAGCAUGUGUGAGGCACUGGGUUUGAUCCCCAGCACCA